rfam:Cavia porcellus supercont2_15 genomic scaffold, whole genome shotgun sequence.
GGGGAUGUGGUUCAGUGGUAGAGCUCUUGCCUUGCACGCACAAGGUCCUGGGUUUGAUCCCCAGUGCCACCA